ACAUGUGUAAAAAUUUUAUCAUAUAAUUGAAAACAUCAGCAAACCAGCAUUUUUUUAAUCAUUUUUUUCCCAAUUAGUUUUGUUAAAAUAUAUAACAUUUAACACAUUUAAUCUCUGAAGCAGAUACUUUCUAAAAAUUGUAAACCAGUGUCAUUUAACAAUCAUUCACAGAUUUAAUUCCCUACAGGUAGGAUGGGCUUGUCUCAUUCUGUUUUAAUGUUCAUGAUAGAGACACAUGGGUCAAGCCUAAGACGUCCAACUAAAAGCUCAAAUCAGCUGUUACAGAACAACAGCUCUGAACUCUGAACGACUGCUGGACUCUAAAGAUUAACACUGUAUGUGUUGGAUUAAAUGUAGGGAACCCUAAUGGAGCCCAGGAACAUGAAUAUAAAUCCAGUCUGUCUGUCUGUCUGUCUGUCUGUCUGUCUGUCUGUCUGUCUGUCUGUCUGUCUGCAGGUCCAGGCCUCCAUCCGUUGGAGGAACAAAUAUCCAAGAGGCCUCUCUCUCACUAAUGAUGUCUGGAUGGAUGUAAAGAUCUGCAAACGCGUGGAAACCUUCAGUGUUUGCUGCAUUCACAUGUGAGGCAGCGACUGACUGAGAGAGCGAACAGAGAUCGACUGUUACGAUCAAAUGACUCCACCAGGGCACUUUCUGAAGUCUGCUUCACUGAAACACUGCUGCUACAAGUGUAAACCUUUUUCCAUAAUUGAACUGAUCUUAGUUUCUCUCUCUCGUCAGUGUCUGCUUGUUCAGAAAUGAGUCAACGUCUUUUAAAUUCACAUGGCGUGGGACAUUUUUUAGUCUCAGCACAAACGAUCUUUAUUGAUUACAAAUGAAAAAAGCUACAAAUGUGUCUUCAUAAGUGUCCUCCAUAUUUUCAGUUUGUAUACUCACUGUCAAGUCUUUCAGUUCAUCUCACAAUAAAAUGUUCCAAAAGUGUGUGAGGCUGUAGUUUGUGUUUUUUACUUCUUGCAUUUUGCUGAACCUUCCUCGGUAGAAGUGGCACAGACACAUGCUGCCAGCUGGAGCUUAUUUGGACUUUUAUUCAUAAGGAGGGCGUCUCGCACAGAACCCUGAAUAAACACAUUUUGUAAUGGUUCUGCUUUUUAUGUGCUCAUUCUGUUCUCUAAAUCAGACUGUAUCUGAUUUUAAUUCCAAGUAUGUUUGACUGGAAAUGCAGCUGUACUGGUUUUAAUAAAUAAAAUGCUUCAGUCA